rnacentral:lncRNA from 1 species
AAAAAAACUAUAUAUAUAUAUACAUUUGCACCAUCUCGUCAAUUUAGCCAGACUUAUCCAUAAAGAUUAUAAAUGAUAUCUGUGAGUCUGCAACUCAGAAAAAUAUACUGGAUCUGAACAUGAAUGAAACAUUUGCCCCUGGAAGUUCGGCUACAAACAAAAUCAUGCAUGUUUCUUUGCCUUCUUCAAAUUAUAUUAACAGUAUACUAUUCCAAGAAGAGAACUUCCCAUACAUGUACUUUUUAUUUUAUUUUUAAAAUAAAGUAUAUGAAUCAG